rnacentral:rRNA from 1 species
GUAACAAGGUUUCCGUAGGUGAACCUGCGGAAGGAUCAUUACAGUGGGGGGCUCUGCCCCGUUAACCAUGAUACUACCCUUGAUUUUGGAUACCUCUUGUUUCCUUGACGGGCUCGCCCGUCAGUGGACCAACCGAAACCUAUCUUGCAAUAGCAGUACCCUCUGACAAGCAAACAAAAAGUCAAAACUUUCAACAACGGAUCUCUUGGUUCUGGCAUCGAUGAAGAACGCAGCGAAAUGCGAUAAGUAGUGUGAAUUGCAGAAUUCAGUGAAUCAUCGAAUCUUUGAACGCACAUUGCGCCCUUUGGUAUUCCUUAGGGCAUGCCUGUUCGAGCGUCAUUUAAACCUUCAAGCUCAGCUUGGUGUUGGGCGCCUGUCCCCCUCCACGGGGACUCGCCUCAAAUGCAUUGGCAGCCGGUACGUUGGCUUCGAGCGCAGCAGAAACGCGCCCGGCGUCUGGCGUCGUCCGGCUCUCCAGCAAGACAAACCCACGUUUGACCUCGGAUCAGGUAGGGAUACCCGCUGAACUUAAGCAUAUCAAAG